GAGAGAGAGAGAGAGAGAGAGAGAGAGAGAGAGAGAGAGAGAGAGAGAGAGAGAGAGAGGUUACGUUCAGGAACGUGGACGAAGAGGGAGAACAAGAAGUUCGAGAGAGCGUUGGCGAAGUACGACAAGGAGACGCCGGAGAGAUGGCAGAAAGUAGCAGACGCCGUCGGAGGGAAAUCGGCCGACGAAGCCAGGCGACAUUACGAGGUUCUCCUCCUCGACCUCAAUCUCAUCGAGACGGGUCGGGUUCCUUUACCCGAUUACGGACCCACUGACUGUCUCCAUCGUACCACCACAUAGGUUCCGGAAGUUACCAUGAAGAAGGCGACGGAGACGGAGAAGACAGACGUAUCCGCAUUCCACUUUUUGUACAUGUUUUCUCGAAUCCAUGUAACAAGUCCUGUUUGACUUCGUUGGUCUUUAAUUUCACGAGACUAACUGUUUCAAAUUAUAAUAUUUUGGAUGGAUAAUAUCGGAGAAACAUAAUUUAAUUGAA